rnacentral:rRNA from 1 species
UCGAGAAUCAUUCGCAAUGGGCGAAAGCCUGACGAUGCGACGCCGUGUGAGCGAAGAAGGCCUUAGGGUUGUAAAGCUCUUUCGCUUGGGAAUAAGAAAAGCCGGCUAAUAUCCGGCUAAUUUGAACGUACCAGGUAAAGAAGCACCGGCUAACUCCGUGCCAGCAGCUGCGGUAAUACGGAGGGUGCAAGCAUUAAUCGGAUUUAUUGGGCGUAAAGGGCGCGUAGGCGGAGACAUAAGUCAGAUGUGAAAUCCUGGAGCUUAACUUCAGAACUGCAUUUGAAACUGUGUCCCUAGAGGGUAGGCGGAGAAAACGGAAUUCCACAAGUAGCGGUGAAAUGCGUAGAUAUGUGGAAGAACACCGGUGGCGAAGGCGGUUUUCUAGCUUAUUCCUGACGCUGAGGCGCGAAAGCAAGGGGAUCAAACA